rnacentral:rRNA from 1 species
ACUGUCAUGAUUAAAAAAUAGCGCUGCCUUAACUACGCAUGGUAAUUUGAGUGUUUGAAACCCAGCUAGAAACAUUAAACAAUGUUAGAAAUAACAAUUUAAUUUAGGUUUAGGUCUGACGAAUUAGGUGCCAGCAGUCGCGGUCACACCUAAGGGUCAAGUUAUUUUAUUCAAGCAGGCUGAAUUUUAAAAUAGUAAUAAAGUAAAAUUUUUAUUAUAUUGAGUUAGUUAGCGUAAACUCUGAAGAUAAACCAGGAUUAGAUACCCUAUUAUAUAGAGCUAAAAUACAGCUUUAGCACUAAGGCUUUAUAGUUAAAACUAAAAUGACAUGGCGGCAGCCACAACUCAGGGGAACUUACCAGGUAAAUGACAACCCACAAAAAACCCUACUUUUUCUUAGGGUUUGUAUAUCGUCGUCUAGAUUCUAUUUAAGAUAGAAUCUAAAUGAAACUCAAAAAGACAGAUCAAGAUGCAGCGUACGAAAAAGUCUGUAAGGUGAGUUACUAUAAUUUUAAUUUUGGAAAGCACAUGAAACCUGUGCUGGAAACCGGACUUGAAAGUAAAAAUUAUUAGAAGUAUAAUUUGAAUUUUUCACGGCUGUGCACAAAUCGCCCGUCGCUCUUGCUGAAAAGUAAGAUAAGUCGUAACAUAGUAAGUGUAUCGGAAGAUGCACUU